AUUUCGGAGAGUUUGAUCCUGGCUCAGAGUGAACGCUGGCGGCGUGGAUUAGGCAUGCAAGUCGAGCGAUGAUCAGGGGAUCAAGGCCGCAAGGCCGAGUGAAUUUGAUCAUAGCGGCAAACGGGUUAGUAACACGUGAGUAAUCUGCCCCAAAACUAAACAUAGCUUCGUGAAAACGGAGGUAAUAUUUAAUAUGAUCCUGUUAUCGCAUGGUAGUAGGAUUAAAGGCAGGGACCGAAAGGCCUGCUGUUUUGGGAUGAGCUCGCGUCCUAUCAGCUAGUUGGUAGGGUAAUGGCCUACCAAGGCUUAUGACGGGUAGCUGGUCUGAGAGGACGAUCAGCAACACUGGGACUGAGACACUGCCCAGAC
rnacentral:rRNA from 1 species